rnacentral:lncRNA from 1 species
CCAGGGAAUGAGUCAAGUCAGUCAACAACUAUUUAUGGAGCGACCACAGGAUUGCAGAGUCUGGGAGGAGACGGGGUUGCUGGAAGCAGCCCAGGAGAGCUCUCACUUGAGACAGUAAAAGGAAAUGUCAAUCCUCAGGCCAGGUCUAAACAGGGCGGUAAGGAACUGACUGCCACCCUGGGUGGGUUUAUUCUGGACCAAUCUCUCCCUCUGGCUGAGUGGCCUCUGUUAUCCUAAGGCCAAACUGGGUGGGUCCGCCAUGAUCAUGCACAUUUUUGGAAAAACACAAGCAGGACGCUAACAAUCUUGAUGGUUUUGGGGUGGGGACUGGCAGCUGGCUGAGAUGCUCUUCCUCCCCAACUCCCGAAGGGCCCCACAACCAUUGAAAUUAAACAAAUGUUGUCAGAUGUUCACCAUUUUCUCCUCUGCAAAUGUUAAAUGUGUAUGCGCUAGAGGGGAGAGGCUAGGAAAAUCUAGGGCCAAUGGAAACAGCCUCCUGGGGACCUGACGCUCUCUUGUUUGGAAACUGGGGCCUAUCUACUUUUGCUCCAAAGCCUUGCUGCUCACUGGUUCCGUGGACCAGCAACAUCAACAGUGCCUGGAUGAUGUUAGAAAUGCAAAGUUUGGCAGUUCCCGUUGUGGCUCAGCGGAAAUGAAUCUGAUGGGUAUCCAUGAGGACGUGGGUUCAAUCCCUGGCCUUGCUCAGUGGGUUAAGGCUCCAGCGUUGCCGUGAGCUGUGGUGUAGGUCACAGACACAGCUCAGAUCUGGCGUUGCUGUGGCUGUGGUGUAGGCUGGCGGCGAUAGCUCCGAUUAGACCCCUAGCCUGGGAACCUCCAUAUGCCAUGGGUGCAGCCCUAAAAAGAUAAUAGACCAAAAAAAAAAAAAAAAAAAAGUAUCUGACUGCAGUAGCUUGGGAGGCACUUGGAGGCGAGGGUUUGAUCCCCACGCGGCCAAGUGGGUUCAGAAUCCACUGUUGCCACAGCUGCAGCUUGGAUUCAGUCCCUGGCCGGGGAAAUUCCACGUGCCAUGGGUGCAGCCAUUACAAAAAAAAAAAGUCAUUUGGGAGCUUGAUGGUGGAUCAACAGGUUAAGAAUCUGGUGUUGUCACUGCUGUGGCCAGGUUGCUGCUGUGGUAUGGGUUCAAUCCCUGGUCUGGGAAUUUCUGCAUGCCACUGGUACUGCCCAAAAAAUGGGGGGAGGGGGGAGUCACCUGGAAGGAUCCAGGUCAAUCACACAUUUGUUUAAUCCGCAUUGGAAGAUAACUUCUCGGAGUCUAAGAGAACUGAAUGCAACUCACAAGGCGCCCUUUCACUUCUGCAUGACACUUGGGUAACAGGGCACGCUGGCCUAGAUUCUCUUCUGCUUUAAACAUUCACGGAUGUCUGAAUAACCUGCACAGUUACAGUUAGGGUCAGCGCAUCUGGGGAAGUCACUGCAAUCCCCUCCCACAUAACUAUGGUGAUUUUAAUAACAAAUAACACAUCUAGAGACUGGAAUAUAAGUAUGCAGGCAGAGGGAGCCACUGAAGAUGUUAAUUUGCAUGUUCACAAAGGAGCAGAAUCCAGCUGCAACAUUAAUGCUGAAUUCUACAGAGUCAUAGGAUUCAUCCACAACUUCACCAUGGGUAUGCUCUAAAUUUAAAGCUAAUUUUCAACCCCUUACGAUUUUGCCUACAACUUAAAUUUAGCUGCUUGAGAAAGAGACUGGAUUUGAUUUGAUUUUCUAUGAAUCCUGAAACAGUGCAAACAGGAAAAAAAAAUCCAUUUGCUUAAGUUUUGUGAGUUAAAUACAAAGAUCUAAUAGAUUUGAUGUGGGGUGUCUCAAAAUAUUCACCUUGGCACAUGAAAAAAAAAAAGGGUCUAAUUGGAAGAGAUUUCUUCUAAGAAGAACUAGGUUCUUGCUUCGCUGUUGCUUUCUGGUCUCCUAGACUUGUUUUCGGUAUAAAGUGUAUUAGCCCUUAAGAAGAUAAAUCUUCUGGAAAUAAGAUGUAUAGGAAUGAAUGUGUGUGUAUACAGGGGAGUGGCUAUUAACUAUAGUGGUCAUAUCGCUGCAUUAGAGUAAUUACUAUAAUAUACUACUUAUACUAUGAUAUACAUAACACAUAGACUAUAAUAUAGUAUAUUAUACCAUACACUAUAAGAACAACAGGAAAGGUGUGCAUCUGGCCAUCUUUGGGGAAACUAAGGUCCUGGGAAGCUUUGUUCACUUUAUCAGUUUCUCCAAAAAUAUGGAGUCUACUGAACCACUUGCUCAAAUACCUGCAAAAUGACAAAUGUCAUCCAGCCUGAAUGGAGACCCAGUGGGGCAAACAGAACUUAUUAUCAACUAUGAAGUUCUAUGAAGGAAACUAUAGUUCCUUCUAACUAUAAUUCUUUUUUUUUUGUCUUUUUAGGGCCACACCUACAGCAUAUGUGGGUUCCCAGGCUAGGGGUCUAAUCAGAGCUAUAGCUGCUGGCCUACGCCACAGCCAUAGCAACACAAGAUCCGAGCUGUGUCUGCGACCUACACCAGAGCUCAUGGAGACACCGGAUCCUUAACCCACUGAGCGAGGCCAGGAAUCGAACUCAAAACCUCAUGGUUCCUAGUCAGAUUUGUUUCUGAUGCACCACAAUGGGCACUCCCCUAACUAUAAUUCUAUGAAGGAAAGAACUAUAAGAUGCUUCCACUCAAAUGGCCUAUGUUGCAUUGAAUGCUGUUGGCAUUUACAGGUUACAGAGAAUGGAGGGUAGCCUGGACCUAUGAUGACAAACGCUAAAGGGCAACGCUCCAGUCCUACAAGUGACCCAGAGGGAAGGAAGGUUGUCAGUCAUCCCGAUCUACCAGGCGGAUGUGGUGCAAACCCUCCAUGGGGUGCAUGCAUUAGAUACUGACUAGAUGGCAUGAUUUCAUGAGAUAAGCAAAAGAAUGUCUUGAGAGUUAAAAGCUUGGGAGUCCUUAGGGUUGCAACUCUGACGAAUCCUUGGCCCAUUUGUUAUUCAUUUACUUAUUUAUUUAGGGCCUCACCGGCAGCAUAUGGAAGUUCCCAGGCUGGGGGUCAAAUUGGAGCUGCAGAUGUCGGCCUACAUCACAGCCACACCAACGCCAGAUCCAAGCCGCGUCUGCGACCUACACCGAGGCUCAUGGCAACACCGGAUCCUUAAUCCACUGAGCAAGGCCAGGGAUCGAACCCGCAUUCUCAUGGCUACUAGUCGGGUUCUUAAUCUGCUGAGCCACAACGGGAACUCCCCCAUUUGUUAUUAAUAAAGGCUGGAGACCUGGGUGGAGAGCCUGGCCCUGCCAGGGGACAAAUUCGUCACCUCGAUAAGCCUCUGCUCAUCGUCUAUUACACAGGAGUGAUUACGGCAGCUUCACUUAAUUCUUAGAACCAGUUUGAGGAUCACAUAAGAUAAUAGAUGGGAGUCCUUAGGGAUGUCAAUCAGCUGAGAGUCCAGUGUGGAUGAUAUCAUCUGGGCCACCCGGGGGCGAGGCUGGGUGUGUUGGGGUGAGCUUCCUUCUCCACUGUCAUAAAAGGCAUGUGACACCCUUUCCAGUACUUCCCCCUCCCAGGCCCCCAGACAUGCUUGCCUCAACAUUUGAACACAUUUAGAAUUCGUUCAGCAAUUAAAUCCAGUUUUGAUCUGAGAGGCUUCUGAGGGCAGCUGCAGGUUCCCCUGAGCUGGUGCAGUUUAUGCGGGCUGGCAAGCUGCGGCUCCAUCCCCCUCGCUCGUGUCGAGACAUCCAUCAUCACUUCCCACCAACGCGUCACUGAAGCUUUGUUACAUCUGGAGGCCAGAGCCAAGCCAGCCUCUACGCCGAGGGGCAGCACAAAUACCACCACUGUGGUGUCAGCAGUAUGGAUGGUCCUGCCCUGAGCCACCGGGCAGACGGAACACCUGGCUGCCUCUCAGGCGGAGGCUUUCCUAAGACAGGGGGGAAUGGCUGGCCAGUCACUUGAGAACUAAAGCCAUGAGGGGUAUGGCUGCCCACUAACAGUGUC